rfam:Populus trichocarpa isolate Nisqually-1 chromosome 7, whole genome shotgun sequence.
CUUUUUAAGAUUUAAUGUCAACGUCUCUGACGAGUCUUCUAUUUUUAGGGAUUGAUGUCAUUUUCUGACAUGUUUAAAGACC